rnacentral:rRNA from 1 species
UGCGGUCGAGCGGAACAGAUAGUAACUUGUUACUUUGCUGUCGAGCGGCGGACGGGUGAGUAAUGCUUGGGAAACUGCCCAGUCGAGGGGGACAACCAUUGGAAACGAUGGCUAAUACCGCAUACGCCCUACGGGGGAAAGAAGGGGACUCUUCGGAGCCUUUCGCGAUUGGACGUGCCCAAGUGGGAUUAGCUAGUUGGUGAGGUAAAGGCUCACCAAGGCAACGAUCCCUAGCUGGUUUGAGAGGAUGAUCAGCCACACUGGAACUGAGACACGGUCCAGACUCCUACGGGAGGCAGCAGUGGGGAAUAUUGCACAAUGGGCGCAAGCCUGAUGCAGCCAUGCCGCGUGUAUGAAGAAGGCCUUCGGGUUGUAAAGUACUUUCAGCGAGGAGGAAAGGGUGUAGGUUAAUAACCUAUAUCUGUGACGUUACUCGCAGAAGAAGGACCGGCUAACUCCGUGCCAGCAGCCGCGGUAAUACGGAGGGUCCGAGCGUUAAUCGGAAUUACUGGGCGUAAAGCGUACGCAGGCGGUUUGUUAAGCGAGAUGUGAAAGCCCCGGGCUCAACCUGGGAACUGCAUUUCGAACUGACAAACUAGAGUUUUGUAGAGGGUGGUAGAAUUUCACGUGUAGCGGUGAAAUGCGUAGAGAUCUGAAGGAAUACCAGUGGCGAACGCGGCCACCUGGACAAUAACUGACGCUCAUGUACGA